rnacentral:misc_RNA from 1 species
AACGCACAUUGCGCCUGCUGGUAUUCCGGUAGGCAUGCCUGUUUGAGCGUCAGCAAAAACUCUCAGCUGAAAUUUAUUUUCUGGCUGGUUAUGGGUGUUUGGAGGAAACUUGGUCCUUUGUGUCCAGCUCCCGCCUUAAACUUGCUGCACGACCGCAAGCUAAUGUUAGGUUAAUGGAGUGGUAUUUUCUUAUAAUUCCAGCAACUGUUCAUAGCUUCCGCGGCGUUAAACCCGAUGUUACUUAACUGUGACUGAAGUUUGACCUCAAAUCAGACAAGGAUACCCGCUGAACUUAA